rnacentral:rRNA from 1 species
GUGAAAUUGUUGAAAGGGAAACGAUUGAAGCCAGUCGUACUGACGGGUAAUCAACCUUUAGGGUGCGAUUCUGUGGGUUUUGAGGAGCUUCACGGCCCUCAUGGUCUGCAUAUUUGUGCCAUUUGGGUGUACUUACCUUGGCAGUAGGUUAACAUCAAUUUUGAUCGUCAUAAAAUGAUGGGAGGAAUGUAGCUUCGCCCUCGGUUGAAGUGUUAUAGCCUCUGGUAGAUGUGAUGAUCGGGAUUGAGG